GUCUAAUUAGUUUAUUUAAAAUUUAGCUUUUGUAAUGCUAAGAUUACUAUAUAGUAUUAGGCU
rnacentral:tRNA from 1 species